UCAGUCUGUUGGACAAGCAGUCAUUCAGGGAAACUUACUCAGCAGAAUUGAUCUUAUUGAGAAGCCUGAUUGAACCUUUUUAGUAACCCACUAAUCCUGAGAACACAGUUUGAAAACCAUUGCCUUGGGACAUGUCCACACAUGGAUUUUUCAGGUGUGGUCAUUCAACUGUUUUGGAUAGCCCAUUCUUUUAGUGACUGGUGCCUGUACCUUGGUGGCUUUAUCCAUUCUCAUGUCUUUUGCUUUAUUCUGUCAAUUGAUGCUGUGGCAUUAAAUGUCUCCAAAAAUCCUGUGUUUUUGAUUUUCAUUUAACUUCAUUGGCCCUGCCAACCCAUUUCUGACACUGCAUAUGUUCCAUUCAUAAUUUUAAUUUCUCUUCCCCCUCCCCCAAAAUGUCUGUGAACUGUAAUUUAGAUGAACAAAGAAGUAAGAUGCAAAUUUGUUAAUAAAACUGUCAAGUUCCAUUGUAGUAUGGAUUACUGGAUGUAAAAUUAUAGCACAACCUCAUUGAUGCAAAUAGCUUAAAGAUCAAUGUGUUUGAAUAAUUACAGUGUUGUACUCCCAUAAGGGUGGGUGAUGGAAGUUUUUAAUUUAGAAAGUAAGAGACCUAGAUAAUAGAUAUUUGGAUGAUGGAGGUGUUACUGGCCCUUAAAUAGGUUCCUGGGUAUCCUUGGCAGCAUGCACACUUGAAUGAAAGAAGGUAGUAAGUGAAACCUGAGGUACUGGAUUACUCUAAGCAGAUUUUAUAAAUGCAGAAUAGCAGAAAAGUGCUGCAAACUUAUUACCUUACCAAAUUUCAAUUUCUGUCCAUUACUAUGAAGGCUUUGUUCUUGUAGUAAGAAGGAACUGUGGAUAAUCCUUGUUUGGGAACACUAAUAUAGCACAUACAGUUAAUAUAUGUUGUUAAAAAGGGCUAUACCCCAUUUUAAGACAAUUUUGUGUAUGCCCAUUUUGAUAUUAGGGUAUAUAUUUUCUACACUAAAUUGAUUGUGCAUCCUUUUAAUGUGGUAGAAUGAUACAUACUGGAGUUUAUCGUCUUGUCAAAUCCAACCAAGUUAUAGAAAUUUGAUUUUCUACUGAACAGACCUGCAAAGCAAUAAAGAUAGAAUGAAUUCAAGUACUAAGGCAUAGAUACCCGUAUUCUCAAUGCAGAUAUCAUGUACAUCUGUUUCAUGAAAUGAUGAAAGUGUUGUAUACUAGAUAGUGACAAAAAGACAGUCCUAAUUACAGAAUGAGAUUGUGAAUGAUCAAAUGUAGGAUUUGAAGUCUUUUUUUAAAGUGUUUUGUGCAGAGACAUGUUGCCCAUUUUUAAAAAAUCAAAAUACCUAAACAGGAAGCAUGCAGUACUGAUAAGCUGAUAUCUAUACAUUCAAUGCCACCAUUUUCAGUCUGUCAGAUUUGAUAUUCCUUACUGUCUUUGCUGAUGUGAUUUAGUUUUGAGAGUUGGGGGGUCUCAGUGUUGCUUUGAUUUGAAAUGAGACAGCCUUUGAAUAUUUUCUGAGCAUUAUGUGUAAUCUUCCUUUGGUAAGGAAUUUUUUUUUAAAAAAUAAGGAUAUAUAUAACAUUUCUGCUAUACACUAAAAUGUAGAGAGUAGUCCCAAAGCUGAUGCCCUUUUGAAAAUGAAAGUACUUUUUUACAAUGAAGCCCUAGAAAUAUUGAACUGACUUAAGAAAAUGAUGUUUAUUCAGUGGUUGCCAUUGCUUCUACCUCAGAUGGUUUCCACUGAUUGACUUCUCCUUUAUACCAUCUUACAACUUAUUCUGGGUUCUGAUUGAAGCUUCAAUGGCACUUAUGGAAGAAAUUAAAAUGGAAGGGGACAGGAAAGGCCACUGUACAAAGGUUACUUUCCAUGCAGCAGGAAAUAUCACCUUUUUCCUUACGUUGGCUCUGUGCCUUCAGUAGCAGCAUGGUAGAUGGGAGUUCAAAAGGUGUACUUUUCUCAGGAUGAUAGUAGCACCAGAUGAAUUUCUGAUUGUUAUGCAGCUGUUUGAAAGCACAGAGCCUCUUUCAGGAAAUAGGUGGCAACUUGUGUACCCUUGAAUAUGAGUUUUGAGUACUGUGGCUGGAAAAUAUGUGUAUUCUUAUUUCACACAAAGUGGAAGUCAUGUAUACAAAGAGAAUUGCUCAUAGCACACUUUCCUGGUACAUGAGACAGGAGUGGCAGAACCACAAUGCUUGGUAAAAUCUUUGAGAGUUUGAAUGUAGGUGAAUGGUCAGUGCAUUUCUCAUUCUCUGGGCUCUUUCUGUUAUAAGAAAAAUACAUUAAAGAUCAAAAGGGUAUCUUCUUUAGAGUUGCUAAAAUGGUUGAACUUCCAAAAAAUCCAAAGCCAUCCUGGCCUAUGUUCAUGGCACCAAAAGUGACAUCAGAAUGACCUUUUGUUUGUCUUCAGAAUAUUGUAGUGUGAUUUUUGUAUGUUUGUGUCUGACAGAAUAUGUGACGGUGAACAGUGCAUGGUUUGCUGAGAUUUGUAUUCAAACCUCUCUAAAGCGAAUUUUAAAAAAAUAAAACCUGACUUUUCCUUGUGGAAAA